GAUGAACGCUAGCUACAGGCUUAACACAUGCAAGUCGAGGGGCAGCAUGGUCUUAGCUUGCUAAGGCCGAUGGCGACCGGCGCACGUGUGAGUAACACGUAUCCAACCUGCCUUCUACUCUUGGACAGCCUUCUGAAAGGAAGAUUAAUACAAGAUGGCAUCAUGAGUCCGCAUGUUCACAUGAUUAAAGGUAUUCCGGUAGACGAUGGGGAUGCGUUCCAUUAGAUAGUAGGCGGGGUAACGGCCCACCUAGUCUUCGAUGGAUAGGGGUUCUGAGAGGAAGGUCCCCCACAUUGGAACUGAGAACCGGUCCAAACUCCUACGGGAGGCAGCAGUGAGGAAUAUUGGUCAAUGGGAGAGAGCCUGAACCAGCCAAGUAGCGUGAAGGAUGACUGCCCUAUGGGUUGUAAACUUCUUUUAUAAAGGAAUAAAGUCGGGUAUGGAUACCCGUUUGAAUGUACUUUAUGAAUAAGGAUCGGCUAACUCCGUG
rnacentral:rRNA from 1 species